UCCGGCAACUCCGUUUGAGUUGUGUGCAUGUUUUUAGGAGAUAUGAAAAUGGCAUUAACUGCUGAGAAAAAAGCGGCGAUCGUUGCUGAUUACGCACGUGGCGAA
rfam:Oceanospirillum sp. MED92 scf_1099521380394 genomic scaffold, whole genome shotgun sequence.